CGCCAAGUUCGUCCUGCGGGAAAAGGCCACAAAAACGGGUGGGCUAUAGCCUUGGGGGGUGGGGCUGCCCAACUUCGUCCGCCGGAGUCGGAAUGCCGCUAGACUUUCCGAGGGGCAUCCGUAUGCCAAAAAUAGGCCGCGGACAAAGCCGCGCCCAAAAAUAACCGCCCGAAGGCCGGGGCGCCAAGUUCGUCCAGCGGAAAAAGGCCACAAAAACGGGUGGGCUAUAGCCUUGGGGGGUGGGGCUGCCCAACUUCGUCCGCCGGACUCGGAAUGCCGCUAGACUUUCCGAGGGGCAUCCGUAUGCCAAAAAUAGGCCGCGGACAAAGCCGCGCCCAAAAAUAACCGCCCGAAGGCCGGGGCGCCAAGUUCGUCCAGCGGAAAAAGGCCACAAAAACGGGUGGGCUAUAGCCUUGGGGGGUGGGGCUGGCCAACUUCAUCCGCCGGACUCGGAAUACCGUGAGACUUUGCGAGGGUCCUCCGUGUGCCAAAAAUAGGCCGCGGGCAAAGCCGCGCCCAAAAAUAACCGCCCGAAGGCCAGGGCGCCAAGUUCGUCCAGCGGAAAAAGGCCACAAAAACGGGUGGGCUAUAGCCUUGGUGGGUGGGGCUGGCCCACUUCGUCCGCCGGAUUCGGAAUGGCGCGA
rnacentral:lncRNA from 1 species